rnacentral:hammerhead_ribozyme from 1 species
AUCCAGUUGACGAGUCCUAAAUCGAGCGAAACGCGCCUCCUGGAU